rnacentral:lncRNA from 1 species
UUUUUUCUUAUGUGUUGGAUUGUUUUGCUUGCAUGUUUAUCUGCAUGCCUGGCAACCAUAGAGUUCAGAAGAGAGGCCAGAUUCAUUGAAACUGAUGGCUGUGAGCCUACCCUGUAGAUGCUAGGAACCAGACAUGGGUCCUCCGCAUGAGAAACAAGUAUUCUUAAAGCCUGAUAUUGUUUUAGUGUUGUAUUGUAGUGGGUGGAGAAAGUCUAGAGGAACUAGAUCCUCAAAUUUGAUGUCACAGAUCUAAAAUGAGAGGCCGUACACACUGCAGGUGAGCAGACGGAAGCAAGCCACCUUCUCUUGCCAUGUCUUGUCUCGGCAUGUGUGGUCCCAAGUAUCUAGUCUGCUCCAUAGCCCUCCGUCUGGAUAGUGGAGGGCUUCCUUCAGGCUUUGUCCUACGCUGCACUGUGUAGUAGCCCUUUCUGGGUGGAGGCAAGCUCUCGCGGUCAUGAGAUCUGCGGGUACAGAGUCUGGGAACCGUGGUCCCAGAGCCACAUUCAUGCAUUUCCAUGUGUGACCUGCGUGGGGGCCUGUGUCCUGUUUCACAGAUGAUUUUUCUGUGGAUUGGAACUCCUGCUCCUGUCUGGUUUGUGGGGCCGUCAGCACAUGUUGCUUGAGCCCUUGGACUGUGUGUGGUGUGGGCUAUGAGAGUGGAAAUGUUUGUCAGCAAGGAGCUGGGAGUGGACCAGGGGGAGCUAGGCUGAUGGUGAUGCUGGGUGUGGUUUAUUUAUGUAUUAUUAUUUUAUAAUGUUCUUGGGGAAAAAUAAAUGCCAACAAUCUUAUGUCAGCCAGCCAAUUAAAAACCAAUACAAAAAGC